GACGAACGCUGGCGGCGUGCUUAACACAUGCAAGUCGAGCGGUAAGGCCCUUUCGGGGGUACACGAGCGGCGAACGGGCGGGUAACACGUGAGCAACCAGCCCUUCCCUGUGGGUGAACUGCCGGAAACGGUGGCGAAUACCGGACAUGACUUCGCCCCGCCUGCGGGGUGGUGGAAGGCCUUUGGGGGGUGGGGGAUGGGCUCGCGGUCUAUCAGCUUGUUGGUGGGGGGAUGGCUUACCAAGGCUUCGACGGGUAGCCGGCCUGAGAGGGUGACCGGCCACACUGGGACUGAGACACGGCCCAGACUCCUACGGGAGGCAGCAGUGGGGAAUAUUGCACAAUGGGCGGAAGCCUGAUCCAGCAACGCCGCGUGAGGGAUGACGGCCUUCGGGUUGUAAACCUCUUUCGCCUGCGACGAAGCGAGAGUGACGGUAGCAGGUAAAGAAGCACCGGCCAACUACGUG
rnacentral:rRNA from 1 species